rnacentral:rRNA from 1 species
AACGAACGCUGGCGGCAUGCCUAACACAUGCAAGUCGAACGAGACCUUCGGGUCUAGUGGCGCACGGGUGCGUAACGCGUGGGAACCUGCCCUUAGGUUCGGAAUAACUCCCCGAAAGGGGUGCUAAUACCGGAUAAUGUCUUCGGACCAAAGAUUUAUCGCCUUUGGAUAGGCCCGCGUUGGAUUAGCUAGUUGGUAGGGUAAAAGCCUACCAAGGCGACGAUCCAUAGCUGGUCUGAGAGGAUGAUCAGCCACGCUGGGACUGAGACACGGCCCAGACUCCUACGGGAGGCAGCAGUGGGGAAUAUUGGACAAUGGGCGAAAGCCUGAUCCAGCAAUGCCGCGUGAGUGAUGAAGGCCUUAGGGUUGUAAAGCUCUUUUACCCGGGAUGAUAAUGACAGUACCGGGAGAAUAAGCUCCGGCUAACUCCGUG